GAUGAACGCUGGCGGCAUGCCUAAUACAUGCAAGUCGAGCGAACAGAUGAGGAGCUUGCUCCUCUGACGUUAGCGGCGGACGGGUGAGUAACACGUGGAUAACCUACCUAUAAGACUGGGAUAACUUCGGGAAACCGGAGCUAAUACCGGAUAAUAUAUUGAACCGCAUGGUUCAAUAGUGAAAGACGGUUUUGCUGUCACUUAUAGAUGGAUCCGCGCCGCAUUAGCUAGUUGGUAAGGUAACGGCUUACCAAGGCAACGAUGCGUAGCCGACCUGAGAGGGUGAUCGGCCACACUGGAACUGAGACACGGUCCAGACUCCUACGGGAGGCAGCAGUAGGGAAUAUUCCGCAAUGGGCGAAAGCCUGACGGAGCAACGCCGCGUGAGUGAUGAAGGUCUUCGGAUCGUAAAACUCUGUUAUUAGGGAAGAACAAAUGUGUAAGUAACUAUGCACGUCUUGACGGUACCUAAUCAGAAAGCCACGGCUAACUACGUG
rnacentral:rRNA from 1 species